UAGGUGCUGGGGCUUGUUGAUAGACAGCACAGGGACAGCGGCACUGCAGGAGACUGCGCUGGGGCUCCCUGAGCAGCCUUUUCCUUCAGGGCUUUGGGAAGCACCUGGAACGGCUGGUUAGUGUGACGUUCCAUUGGCUUCUUCUGCUGUGAAGCCUGAUGUGACCAUGAAGACCAAACUGAUUAGUCAGGAUGAUCUGGAGAUUCCAGGGCCAUGCCAGGCUGAGGCAGGCUCCCCCAGGCUUGGAAGCAUCCGCUCCAUGCUCCUAUCUAGAGUUAAAUGUCUACUUCAGCCCCACAAGCCAGGGGCGUGUUUGGCCAGUACUGAGCAGGGACGAUCCUGCCUGGAGCAGGACUCCUCCAAGCCUGGCAGCUGCCCCUGGAAGAAGCUGCUGAUUGCCCUAGGAAUCAUGAUCACCAUUUCACUAAUGGUCCUGCUGCUCCUCUGGCAUUACAAGUGCAUCGUCAUUGACCGGUACUGUGAGGGGAACAGUGAGGUGCUGCCCCCCUUAUUCAAAAUCCUACCGAGAAAGAGGACCUGAAACUUGGCCCGGCCCUGCUCCCAGAGAGACCGCACCCCUGCCUUCCUGCCUGCAAGAAGGAUGAUGUGGAGCUCUGCUGAGCAGUUCUGACCAGGACUCUCCUGGAGCCUUAACCAGGAAUGUGGCUCCUGGGCUAAUGGAUGCGUUUGCCUGGACACAUUCAGCAUGCUUGCUCUGACAGGCUCUUGUUCUAGUUACUGUGUAACCUUCUCCCACCCAUGUAUUUGCUUUCCCCAGAGCCUGGUGAAUGUGGCAUAACUAGCCCAGCUCUGAAGUGUUGUAACAUUUUGAGUCAUAUUAAAUUUCAUGAUCCUUCCA